rnacentral:rRNA from 1 species
AACGAUGAAGCCGCUUCGGUGGUGGAUUAGUGGCGAACGGGUGAGUAACACGUGGGCAAUCUGCCCUUCACUCUGGGACAAGCCCUGGAAACGGGGUCUAAUACCGGAUAACACUCUGUCCCGCAUGGGACGGGGUUGAAAGCUCCGGCGGUGAAGGAUGAGCCCGCGGCCUAUCAGCUUGUUGGUGGGGUAAUGGCCUACCAAGGCGACGACGGGUAGCCGGCCUGAGAGGGCGACCGGCCACACUGGGACUGAGACACGGCCCAGACUCCUACGGGAGGCAGCAGUGGGGAAUAUUGCACAAUGGGCGAAAGCCUGAUGCAGCGACGCCGCGUGAGGGAUGACGGCCUUCGGGUUGUAAACCUCUUUCAGCAGGGAAGAAGCGAAAGUGACGGUACCUGCAGAAGAAGCGCCGGCUAACUACGUGCCAGCAGCCGCGGUAAUACGUAGGGCGCAAGCGUUGUCCGGAAUUAUUGGGCGUAAAGAGCUCGUAGGCGGCUUGUCACGUCGGAUGUGAAAGCCCGGGGCUUAACCCCGGGUCUGCAUUCGAUACGGGCUAGCUAGAGUGUGGUAGGGGAGAUCGGAAUUCCUGGUGUAGCGGUGAAAUGCGCAGAUAUCAGGAGGAACACCGGUGGCGAAGGCGGAUCUCUGGGCCAUUACUGACGCUGAGGAGCGAAAGCGUGGGGAGCGAACAGGAUUAGAUACCCUGGUAGUCCACGCCGUAAACGUUGGGAACUAGGUGUUGGCGACAUUCCACGUCGUCGGUGCCGCAGCUAACGCAUUAAGUUCCCCGCCUGGGGAGUACGGCCGCAAGGCUAAAACUCAAAGGAAUUGACGGGG